rnacentral:tRNA from 1 species
GGGGAAUUAGUUAAGCAUAACGUUACCUUGUCGAGGUUGAGUCCCUGGUUAGACUCCAGUAUUCCUCU